UUAUCAAUUCAUCGAAAUAGAUUCGUCAAAGAUGAUAUCACACACAUAUAUGGACAACAACCAAAUAUACAUGUCUAAAUUUGUCCACCAAACUAAAAAUUAUAAGUAUAUACAUAUAUCAUGAAAUAAAUACAAAUAAGUCUGUAGUAUCUGCUUCGCAUGGACAAAAAAAACCAUAUAUAUACAUCUUGGACCAAUAAUCGUCGAUAACGUUUGCUUGAAAUUUUUAAUCUGGUAAAUGGACAAUAUUUUUAAAGUAAUAAAAGCAUGGACAAAAAAAUGUAAUCAGAUUCCUAUUAGUCUAUUACUUAAGUGGACAACAUUUCAGAUUCACAUCAAUGAUAUUGUCCACAACAUCUUUGGUUUCCUCGUAAACAUCUUCUUCUCUGUCUGGCCAAAAUGACGAAGUAUUAGAACUAUAUGUUGAUUGAUAUAAUAAUAGUAGACAAUAUAUGUUGAUUGAUAUAAGAAUAAUGGACAAUAUACAUCUUCGGUUUCCUCGUAGACAUCUUUUUCUUCGUCUUCAGUUUUCUACUAGACAUCUUCGUCUUCUUUUUUCUCUCGUAGACAACAAACAUUUAAUAUGCAUAAUAUCGAAAUUGAAUAACCAAUUAAAAACAAAAUUAAAACCAGUGAAUCGUCAAAUUUAGAUGGGAGAAUGAACUUGAUUUAGAUAGGAAAACUAAAAGAUCUAUUCUUGAGGAUAUCAAAAUUUAUAGAUCUGAAUUUUUUUAUCCACAGUGGUGAUAUAGAAGAGAAGAAGACGAUGGUGGAGAUGGAAAUAGAUCUAAUUAACUUCAAACAAAUCUUAGAUCUAAACAGAGAAAGGAAAGGAAAAAGAGAAGUAGAGAAAGGAAUAGGAUGAAGAGAGAGAGGAAGAGGGAGAGAGCAUGAAACGAUAAAAAAAAAAAAAAGAAGAUAUUUGUGUGAGUGUUUGUGGAGAAAAUAAGGAGUAAAUGGUCAUUUCCAAUUUUACAAAGUGGUAUGGAGG
rnacentral:lncRNA from 1 species